UCAAGCUAAAAAGGGCGCAAGGGGGAUGCCUUGGCAUUGGUAGCCGAUGAAGGACGUAGCGAUCUACGAUAAGCCACGGGAAGUCGAAAGCAGGCAAUGAUCCGUGGAUUUCCGAAUGGGGAAACCCGGCAGAGCAAUACUCUGUCAACUCCUUGUGAAUAAAAUAGCAUUGAGUAGGGAACCUCCUGAACUGAAACAUCUAAGUAGGGAGAGGAAAAGAAAUCAACCGAGAUUCCGCUAGUAGUGGCGAGCGAACGCGGAAGAGGCCAAACCAAGAGUAGUAAUACUUUUGGGGUUCGGACUGAGCACGGUAUUGACAAGAGUUAGUAGAAUGGAAUGGGAAGUUCAACCAUAGAGUGUGAGAGUCACGUAUACGAAAACUUGAGUCAGCCAUCAGUAUCCAGAGUACCGCCGGACACGUGAAACCCGGUGGGAAUACGGGGGGACCACCCUCCAAGCCUAAAUACUCACCAAUGACCGAUAGUGUAUAGUACUGUGAAGGAAAGGUGAAAAGAACCCCUGGCGGGGAGUGAAAAAGAACCUGAAACCUUGUGCCUACAAGCACAUAGAGCACAUCAACGUGUGAUAUGGUACCUUUUGUAGAAUGGUCCGGCGAGUGAAUGUCACUAGCGAGGUUAAGAACUUAAGGUUUGCAGCCGAAGCGAAAGCGAGUCUUAAUAGGGCGAGUUUAGUUAGUGGUAUUCGACCCGAAACCGAGUGACCUAGCCAUGAGCAGGCUGAAGUGGAGGUAAAACUCCAUGGAGGGCCGAACCCACUCCCGUUGAAAUGGUAGGGGAUGACUUGUGGCUAGCGGAGAAAUUCCAAUCGAACUCGGAGAUAGCUGGUUCUCUCCGAAAUAGCUUUAGGGCUAGCCUCAAUUAACAUUACCGCAGGUAAAGCACUGAAUGGGCUAGGGGGCGAAAGCUUACUGAACCCUAUCAAACUCAGAAUGGCGGAUAAUGAAUAAUUGGGAGUCACACUACGUGAGAUAAGUUUCGUGGUGGAAAGGGAAACAGCCCAGACCCACAGCUAAGGUCCCAAAGUACAGUUAAGUGGAAAAGGAUGUGAAGUUGCGCAGACAACCAGGAUGUUGGCUCAGAAGCAGCCACUCAUUCAAAGAGUGCGUAAUAGCUCACUGGUCGAGCGUCUCUGCGCGGAGAAUUUAACGGGGCUAAACCUGACACCGAAGCUUAGGCAAUGUAGUAAUACAUUGGGUAGGGGAGCGUUGUAUACGCGGUGAAACAGUAGCGCAAGCGGCUGUGGAGUGUAUAGAAGUGAGAAUGCCGGAAUGAGUAGCGCGAAUGCAGUGAGAAUCUGCAUGGCCGAAAGCCUCAGGUUUCUGGAGGAAGGUUCGUCCGCUCCAGGUUAGUCGGGAGCUAAGGUGAGGCCUAACGGCGUAGCCGAUGCACAGACGGUAGAGAUUCCGUCACCACCAAAAGAGUUAAGCACAGGGACACAUUUGAAGUCUCGGAGCCGGGUGUUGGUUCCGGUAGCGAUCGAGGGAAGUUAGUACCGAAGUCCGGGAUGGAAGAUGGCGAGAAAAGCUGUGUGUAUUUCUGCGGUGCCCGUACCGCAAACCGACACAGGUAGGUAGGAAGAAGAUUCUAAGGCCAACGGGAGAAGGGUUGUUAAGGAACUCGGCAAAUUGACCCCGUAACUUCGGGAGAAGGGGUGCUCCAGCGAUGGAGCCGCAGAGAAUCGGCCCAAGCAACUGUUUACCAAAAACACAGGUUUGUGCUAAAUCGAAAGAUGACGUAUACGAGCUGACGCCUGCCCGGUGCUGGAAGGUUAAGAGGAGAUGUGCAAGCAUUGAAUCGAAGCCCCAGUGAACGGCGGCCGUAACUAUAACGGUCCUAAGGUAGCGAAAUUCCUUGUCAGGUAAGUUCUGACCCGCACGAAAGGCGUAACGAUUUGGGCGCUGUCUCAGCUGUAGACUCGGUGAAGUCUUAGUACCUGUGAAGAUGCAGGUUACCCGCGACUAGACGGAAAGACCCCAUGGAGCUUCACUGCAGGUUGAUAUUGGGAUUUGAUGCAGCAUGUACAGGAUAGGUAGGAGGCAAAGAGAUGGAUACGCCAGUAUUCAAGGAGCCGCUGUUGGGAUACUACCCCUGUUGUAUUGGAUUUCUAACCGGACGACGUAGAGCCGUUGACGGGACAGUGUCAGUCGGGCAGUUUGACUGGGGCGGUCGCCUCCCAAAGAGUAACGGAGGCGCCCAAAGAUACCCUCAGCUUGGAUGGAAACCAAGCGCAGAGUGCAAAGGCAAAAGGGUGUUUGACUGCGAGACCCACAAGUCGAGCAGGGACGAAAGUCGGGCUUAGUGAUCCGGCGGUGCUGAAUGGAAAGGCCGUCGCUCAACGGAUAAAAGCUACCCUGGGGAUAACAGGCUGAUCUCCCCCAA
rnacentral:rRNA from 1 species